CCUACGGGAGGCAGCAGUGAGGAAUAUUGGUCAAUGGGCGCGAGCCUGAACCAGCCAAGUAGCGUGAAGGAUGACUGCCCUACGGGUUGUAACCUUCUUUUAUAAAGGAAUAAAGUGAGGCACGUGUGCCGUUUUGUCUGUACUUUAUGAAUAAGGAUCGGCUAACUCCGUGCCAGCAGCCGCGGUAAUACGGAGGAUCCGAGCGUUAUCCGGAUUUAUUGGGUUUAAAGGGAGCGUAGAUGGGUUGUUAAGUCAGUUGUGGAAGUUUGGGGCUCAACCGUAAAAUUGCAAUUGAUACUGGCAGUCUUGGGUACAGUUGGGGUAGGCGGAAUUCGUGGGGUAGCGGUGGAAUGCUUA
rnacentral:rRNA from 1 species